CAGUCGCCACGGUAAUACGUAGGGGGCGAGCGUUGUCCGAAGUUACUGGGCGUAAAGAGCGCGUAGGCGGGUCUUUAAGUGAGGGGUGAAAGGUUCAGGGCUCAACCCGGACACUGCCUUUCAUACUGGAGACCUUGAGUGUGGGAGAGGCGAGUGGAAUGGUCGGUGUAGCGGUGAAAUGCGUAGAUAUCGAUCGGAACACCCAUGGCGAAGGCAGCUCGCUGGCCUAUAACUGACGCUGAGGCGCGAAAGCGUGGGGAGCAAACAGGAUUAGAUACCCCUGUAGUCCCUGUCUCUUAUU
rnacentral:rRNA from 1 species